GCGCUCUAGACAUUGUAUAUCUUUUCCAUUCUCUCAACACUUUCAAUCAUUUAUUACUGUGUCCCCAACCCCCAUUUCAAUCCAGCACCAACCAGCACGUUUUUCUCUCUUCUUCUUUACGUAUUUAUUUCUUUUGCUCUGAAUUUUAAGUUUGUAAUUGUCUUUGAUUUGGAGUUUAUGGGAUUGAAGGUUUUGCUGAUUUUCAGAAUUUUGGUUGGUGGUGUGUUGUAGCAGAGGUUUUGAUGGUGACUGGUGAGUGUUUGACUGUUUAUUUUCUACUGAAUUUGAGAUUAGUUGCUGGUAAAAUUUAGUUUAUUCUGUUUAAUUCAUGAAAAUUGUAGCAUGUUAUGAACAACCCACCGAAGAAAUUGGCUUUUUCUAUUUAAUUCCUUUUUUCCCCUAUUAAAAACUAUUAAUUAUUAGUGGGGUUGGUUGACCUAAUGUAUUAGGAAUAUUAAAACAAAGGGCUAUGAAUUUGAGAUGGUAACAUGUGUAUUAAGUAUAAAUUCCGUUUCACUAUUUAAUUAUCUUCUUUUGGUUUUGAAAUCUGUAGAGAGAUGGCUGAAAUGUAUAAUUUUAUUUGAGGGCUAGGGCUUUCAGUUUGGAUCUGGGGAGAGUGAAAGGAAAAUGGGAAUCAAGUUAUUUUUUGAAGCAAUUUUUCUCUUUGGAAGUCUUUACAUGCUAGCAAGAGCUGAACCCAUUGAAGACAAACACGCCUUACUUGAUUUCAUCAAUAAUAUUUCCCACUCGAGGAAUCUGAACUGGGAUGAGAGA
rnacentral:lncRNA from 1 species